rnacentral:rRNA from 1 species
UACGGGUGGCGCUAGUGUUACUCCUCUUUACUGGGCGUAAAGGGUGUGUAGGCAGUGAUAGUAGUUGAAAGUAAAAGACUGGGGGAAAUGCCCAUAUUAUUUUCCAUACUAUAUCACUAGAGUAAUGAAAAAGAUAGUGGAAUUUUCAAUAGAGAGUUGAAAUGCGUUAAUAUAUUGAGAAGAACACCAAAGGCGAAGGCAACUAUCUGUUCAUAUACUGACGCUGAGGCACGAAAGCGUAGGGAUCAAACAGG